rnacentral:rRNA from 1 species
UUGAAAGGGAAACGAUUGAAGUCAGUCGGACUCUCGAGAAAUCAACUUAUCGUGUGCGNNNUUGUGGGCGUGCGUGAGUUUCGGCCUCGCUGUUUGCAUGUUUGUGUGCUUUGGGUGUACUUUUUCGUAUGGUAGGCCAACGUCAGUUUCGAUCACUAUAAAAUGACUGGCGGAAUGUAGCUUCGAUUUCGGUUGAAGUGUUAUAGCCUCUGGUAGAUGUGGUGAUUGGGACUGAGGAUUGCAACGAAUAUCCUUUGGGCUAUCCGUCUGAUCUCUGAAAGUUGCUCAGGUGCCGAAAGCGUGCUUACGGUUAUCUAAGUUGACGGUCAACAGGUUAGAACGUGAUUACAUUCGUUAAGGAUGUUGACGUA